CCUACGGGUGGCAGCAGUGAGGAAUAUUGGGCAAUGGCCGGAAGGCUGAACCAGCCAUGCCGCGUGAAGGUCAGUGCCCUAUGGGCGUUAAACUUCUGUUGUGCGGGAGCAUUAAUGGUCACGUGUGGCCAGACGAGAGUACCGUACGAAUAAGCAUCGGCUAACUCCGUGCCAGCAGCCGCGGUAAUACGGGGGAUGCAAGCGUUAUCCGGAUUUAUUGGGUUUAAAGGGUGCGUAGGCUGUGAGGUAAGUCAGCGGUGAAAUGCCCCCGCUCAACGGGGUGAAGUGCCAUUGAUACUGCCUGGCUGGAGUGCGGAUGCGGUGGGAGGAAUGUGUGGUGUAGCGGUGAAAUGCAUAGAUAUCACACAGAACACCGAUUGCGAAGGCAUCUCACGAAUCCGCGAUUGACGCUGAUGCACGAAAGCGUGGGUAUCAAACAGGAUUAGAUACCCGAGUAGUC
rnacentral:rRNA from 1 species